UACGGAGGAUCCGAGCGUUAUCCGGAUUUAUUGGGUUUAAAGGGUGCGCAGGCGGGAGAUUAAGUCGGCGGUGAAAUUUUGCAGCUCAACUGUAAAAGUGCCUUCGAAACUGGUUUCCUUGAGUGUAGAUGAAGUAGGCGGAAUUUGUAGUGUAGCGGUGAAAUGCAUAGAGAUUGCACAGAAGGCCGAUUGCGAAGGCAGCUUACUGAACCAUAACUGACGCUCAUGCACGAAAGCGUGGGGAUCAAACAGGAUUAGAUA
rnacentral:rRNA from 1 species